rnacentral:lncRNA from 1 species
UUUCUUUUAAAAAUAUAGGUCAUUGAACCAAGCAAAAGUUGAUGAAUAUUUAUUUAAAAAAAAAAAUCAUGUAUUGGAUUUGCUCUAUGCUGAAGAUGACAUCUAAGAAGUGCACACUUGUUUCACUUAACUGCUCUAAUCUAAGCAAUAGCACUAUGCUCUCAAUCAUGAAGUCUUUUCAUUACAUCUGCUCUACAAAAAGACUAAAAGAACUUCAAUUGAUAGAUUGCAUAACCACAAAAUAAAUGAUAUAAUUUCUGACCAAAUGAAAUCUACUUUAACCCAAUGCUUCUAUGAAUACUCUAUAAAAAAAAAAUAGACUGGAAAGAGGCUAGGAUAUUAAAACUGGGUCCAACCAAAGAGAAGGCAUCUGAAAAGAAUCACUUACAAUCUGAAACUAAUAUAUACCACAAUGCUAUAAACAAUCAAAAUGAGAAAAUAUAUUUUCUACCUAGAAAUUUUCCUUAGAAAAGUCUAUAAUAUAGUCUUAUAAAUGUAACAAAAUAUACCAUAUAUACUUGUGUAUAAGCCAAAGUUUUUUUACUAAAAAAAAUUUCUGAAUUAGGGAAUUGGCUUAUUCGUGGAUCAAAAAACUCAACUUUUUUUUGGCUGAAGAAAUUGAAGUAAUAAGCAAAAUGAUAACUUAUUGAAUGUUUCCUGAAGACCAGGAAG